rnacentral:tRNA from 1 species
GGAUGGCUCAAUCGGUAGAGCGCCUGACUAUCCGUCGGGCGGUCGCUGGUUCGAGUCCGGUGGAUAUCCA